UUGAAAUUUUGGGUUGGGUGUUUCAGCUGUCCUCUGGCACCUCUCUCCUAAGGGAAAAGAGGUGGGCCUGGUGGACUGCUCACAAGUCUGGAAGAGGAAGGGCAGAGACUUCUUUUCAUUAGGAAACAGGAGACCCUCGAAAGGCAAGGGAAAAAUGCAAUUGCAGCCGGUCCUCCAAGGGUUAAGAGCACUGAGCCGCGCUUCCUGGAGAGGCAAAAAAAGAGGGGAGGGUGGGGGAGAUAAAAAGUAUCCUUUCCUUCCCUUUCAUGUUGCAGGAAAGGGAAAGUCCAGCAAGGAGGAGGAGGAGGAGGGCUCGCGAGGAGGAGGAGAAGGAGGCACAGUCCGGAUCCUGCCUUCUCUACUGCCCCCCAAGGGCCCUUCUGGUCUGCCUGAACUUUGGCGCUGCAGAAACACCAGAUGGAUGAGAUGGUUGGACAGUGUCAUCGAAGCGACCAACAUGAAUUUGACCAAACUCCAGGAGGCAGUGGAAGACAGGAGGGCCUGGCGUGCUCUGGUCCAUGGGGUCACAAAGAGUCGGACACAACUUAAUGACUAAACAACAACAAGUUGUCAGUUCUGGUACUACAUGGUGAAUAUAUGUAUUUCUGGAAUUUAUUUUUAUCCUGCCAUGUACAGCGUUAGCUAUUUACUGCCAUUUCCAGCAACCAGGGGGGCUUGGAACCACUCCUCCACUGAUAUGGGGUUCCAACUGCAUACACUCAUCUAGUAAAUAAGAAGGAAAUAUGGAUAUUCUCUGGAGAUCCAUUGUCAACAUUGCAUGGGGCAUGAAAUGUAAGGGCUAUUCAAAAGGAAAAAAAUACUUUAGAAAGUUGAAAACUGUUAUAUUAUAUCAGUCUGAAUAAAACCCUUGUGAGGGAAAUGUCA
rnacentral:lncRNA from 1 species